UACGUAGGGUGCGAGCGUUAAUCGGAAUUACUGGGCGUAAAGCGUGCGCAGGCGGUUUUGUAAGCCAGAUGUGAAAUCCCCGGGCUUAACCUGGGAACUGCAUUUGUGACUGGCGGGCUAGAGUAUGGCAGAGGGGGGUAGAAUUCCACGUGUAGCAGUGAAAUGCGUAGAGAUGUGGAGGAACACCGAUGGCGAAGGCAGCCCCCUGGGUCAAGAUUGACGCUCAUGCACGAAAGCGUGGGGGAGCAAACAGG
rnacentral:rRNA from 1 species